AUAAUUCUUAUUAUUUUAUUAACUUAUUACUAUUAUCACUAAUUUUAAUAAUAAUAAUAACCCUCUCAAUUAACUAAUUAAAUUAAUAUUCAACUAAUUUUAACAAAUUAAUUAAAUAAUAACUAAUAUAAUUAAUUAGUUUUACUCACCACACCAUCCUUUAUACACUUUUGCUGACACACUCCCCAAUACUUUAAUUUC
rnacentral:lncRNA from 1 species